GAAAUGGGGGGUUACACCAGUCAUCAAUGCGCUCGUCUAUUAAUCUAUGCUCGUAGAUCUGCCAUAGACAUCAGUCAUCAAUGGAGCGGGACUAUUAUCCUCUCUCAGACGCCUAUACCUCUCCCUCUACGACUGGACUGUCUUCCUCGGAUGGUUUCAGGUACUGUAUCUUGCUCUCAAGACUCUCAGUGAAUCCGGCCACCAACAUGUUUACAAUGCCGUCGAACGCCCUCUUCUUCUCGCCCAGUCCGCCGCCGUUUUGGAGGUUCUACUUCUACUGCUCCCUCCAAUUCCAAUUGUUUAUUUAUUCCUCAAUCUGUUUUUUUUUUGAAUUAAAUUGGAGAAUGUCUUUUCACAUUUCAUUUUUCUUGUGUUAUUCUUUGAAUUGGGUUUUGCAAUGUUGGGAUGGAGCAACAGAUUGUUCAUGGGCUAGUGGAACUCUGAGAAGUAUUCUAUACGGAUGCCAAACAAGUGGAACUUCUGUUUUGAUUACUUCUAUGCUGCAAUCGUUGCCCUAGGAAUCUAUGUCCCAGGCAUGCACCGUUUUCACGGACAUGAUCGGGUUAGAAGCAGGAACCUUGACCCUCAAGGAAGAUGAAGAAAAAAUAGGAAACUUUAAAAAGAAGGAAAAAAGGAGGGAAGGUGAAUGCACAACCCAUUUCGAGCCUUCCUAUUUCAAUGAUUCUUUUUUCUGCACCAGCUAGUCUUUCGUCGUGUAAUAGAUUACCGGAACAAAAAAAUAAUAUGAAUGCACGACGCCAUUAAGGGUUUGAGAACUCAAGGGCCUCCCUUCAGUGGCUCGCCUUGGGCCCUCAAAUCUUAGGGCCAGUUCUGAUUUCAGAUUCAGAAGAACAAACAUUCUAUAUCCUUCUUUGAGAAUGAUCAAAUAAAUCUACACCGUUUGGAGUGGAAUAACUUUUUAAGCAAAGAAGGUGCUGCUAAUUAACAUGUUUAACGAACGCAACGAAUCUCAG